ACACAUUGUCCUGGUUUAGCUGGGAUAGAGUUAAUUUUCUUCCUGGUAUCUGGUGCACUGGUGCAGUGCUGUGUUUUGGCUUCAGUCUGAGAACAAUGCUGAUAACACACCGAUGUUUUAGUUGUUGCUAAGUAGCACUUAACUCUGAUCAAGGACUUUUCAGUCUCCCAUGCUCUGGCAGUGGGGGGGGGGGCGCGGCACAAGGAGGAAGCAGAGCCAGGAUACCUGACCCAAAGUAGCCAAAGGGGUAUUCCAUACCCACAGCACAUCAUGCCCAGUAUAGAAACGGGGGACAAUUAUUGGGAAGGACUGAUGGCUGCUUGGGUCAGGCUGGGUAUCAGUGAACAACUGAGUUGUGCAUCACUGCUAUAGUUUUAUUUUAUUAAAAUUGGGUUCUCCCCCCCCCUUUUAGUUUUCUAUCUCUCUCUUUGUUAUUUCCCUUUUCAUUAUUAUUAGUAGUAUUAUACUGUACUUUAAUUAUUAAACUGUUCUCACCUCAGCUCAUGGAUUUUCCUUUUUUUCCCCAGUUCUCCCUGUCCUGCUGAGGGAGUGAGUGAGUGGCAGCUGGGGUUAAACCACGACAUAGGUCCAGAAAAGUUUAACAUACACUGGAAGAAAAGCAGGAUGCUGAUGAAUACAAUGUCUUUAUAUCUGAGUAAUUAACAGCCUUGCUGAAAUUCUGAUGUGCCUGCAGUCCUGUAUUUUCAACCAUGUGCAUCCCCUGUAUUAUCAAUUGAGGACAUGUGCUUUAAAAAUGUUAUGUCCCACAACCAUUUGAUUAGUCUUUAUGUUGAGAAGAGCCAUAGUUACAACACCAUGUAUCAAGUAGGCUAUGCUUUAUAAGUUCUAGUGAAAGAAGCUGAAUUCAUUAUAUAUUAAUGUCUGGUUUGUACUGAAAAUGUCAGACAAAUCCACAAUUACGAUGGAUGUGAAUAACUUGGGUGUGAAGCAUGUUAGUGCAAAUACAGUUGCAUUCACAGUGCAGGAGAGAUCUAGGAAAGGAAGACUGAGACCUGUAAACCCAGUAGCAUGCUGCAUUUCUUGCUCAGGAAUUCUUGAAAGAGAUGGCACAUAAGGUUGUCCAUUCAGAAGUCUUCCCAUUUCGCUCUGUGUAUGGAGGAGGAGAUAGGUCUGAGCUAGGAAGACGAAGAAUCCUACUAACUGUUGUGAAGCCUGAUUUUUAUGGCAUUUUAAAAAUACUUUUUUUUACACACCAAAGCUGUAGACUAUAGUAAGAAAGCUUGAUUCUAACACUAAUAAAAGUAUAAAAGGAAAUGCAGCCAAAACAGGCAUUUGUUACCUAUUUCACAAUGUGUUUUUAUGUUCUAGCUGACAGAAGGAUUUAAAUAUCAGAAAUAUUGAAAAUUAUGUUUUCCUUCUUUAAAUUUUUGCCCUUUUUAGGCAAAGUCCUAAAACUGCUGUACCUCUGCAUUUUUGCUUUCUGAAUGAGAUUUUUUUGACCAGCUUAGUUGCUGUUCUGUUUCUGAUGAAGAAUAACUUUGCCUAAACAUAAUAGGAAAUAAUUGCAUUUGGGCACACAAUGAGACUUCCUGGACUGCUGAAGAAAACACACCUUCCCAUUGUCCUUUUGUUGUGUCAGUGAGCAGUCAUUCUCUUCAAAGUAUUGGUAAUUGCUGUCAUGGUAACAAAACAAAACCAUGGUGUGGCAGCUAUUUUCAGCAGUGCACAUGUGAUGUCUCAUCUGACUGUAAAACACAUAAGUUUUUAACCAGGAUAAGAGGUGUCCUCCAGUUUAAACCUGGUAUAUAGGUAAAUAAUAUUUUCUGAACGAUGGUCCAGGUGUGGGCUUUAUUUGAAGUAUUUUUUGUUCCGUUGGGGUUCUUUUAGGUAGAUGGGUAGCAGGUUAAUUUCUAGAGGUGGGAUGGGAAUGACAGCCCAACCAGUGCAAAGAAAUCAACUUGUUCCUCAUAGCACUAGUCCUGAACACUUCUGCAACUAACUGUAUGGGGCUGGCACUGAAAUUCUGAGGGCUCUGGCAAUAACCAAUGUAGCCCUUGUGUUCUUCAGCACAAAACAAAGCAAUAAACUAAUACAGGAGUUGCAUGGAAAGUGGUGGUCACACUGCAACAUGUGGAAAAAUGGAUCCUCAGAUGUCUGUAACAAAGCAGCCAAGAAACAGUGGGAAGGAAGAUGAGAUAAGCUGAUGGGGAGAUAACAACUUUCUGAAGAAUGGGGGCAAACUAUGAAUGAAGAUUUGGACGACUUCUGUGUGUGACCUUUUUCUUGGGCUCCUGCAAUAUGAAUUUAAUGGUAAUA